CCCACCCUGCCCCCUCCCCAGCUCUCACCAUCUCGUAGUCCCUCAGGGCAGCCUUGAACUUGCCCAGGGCCAUGUUGCUGGCCAUGUGCCCCCAGGUGACCCACCCUGACCCCAGGUAACCCACACUGACCCCAGGUGACCCACAAUGACACAGGGAGCACACCCUGACCCCAGGACACCCACCCUGACCCCAGGUGACCCACCCUGA